rnacentral:tRNA from 8 species
GGCGGGGUAGCUCAGUCGGUUAGAGCGCAGGACUCAUAAGCCUGAGGUCAGUGGUUCGAUUCCACUUCCCGCUACCA